GUAAACCAAAGGCCUUGCUUUGCUCCAGCUGGAUCCCUCACGUAUUGGUGCCAUUAACAGGUGUCUUUCAAUUUGAUUAAGACACCCAAAGGAUAGAAAUCCUUCUCCAGACCAGCACAUAACUUUGCUCAAGCCACCUGUUGCACCAUCAAACGGAAGCGGAUUUCACGUGCAAUAGCGGUAGCAAUAGAAGACCCUCCAAUUAAUUGGAUGCUUCUGGGCUGACUUGGAACCAAAAGAGACAAACUCUCUUAUUGUCCUUUGUGUGCUGUAACUUUCCCAAGGUCAAUAACUCAAGAAAUCCUCUUGCCUUUCACGUGACUGUGCUGCCAGCUUGAAGGCUUUGGAGUUUGGUGGAGGAAACCACCUGUCAUUUUGCUUCAGAAACCCAAGAGAGAACUUGUGGCAGCAAACACUCAUGAGGAGGCAAUUCAAUUUCCAUGCGCCCCUUUUGGUUUCGGAUGCUUCAUGCAGAAAUUUUACACAGGGACUUGUAAUUACAAGCCUUUGCUCUUUUGAUUUUGAUCCCAUGGUGGGUUCAUCUCUACAUCCAUGAUUUGAGAGAUUCUUUGCUCCUGGAAGAGCUUAUUUGGUGGUGCAUGAUGGAAUAGACUAUGCCAUAAAACAUGAUGAUUGAAAUCAUCAUGGAAGGCAAACCUGAAAACACUGCUGGAGUUCUUUGAGCGGAGCCAAGCCUCGGAGAGAUUCUUAACCUUGGUUAUGAUGAUUUCAAUCAUCAUAGCCAAGAAUUUCUGUGGAUUGAUCAAACAAACUGCUGGGUGCGGAUCGUAUCCUCGGAAUUACUUGAGCGGAGCUGUCCCUUAGAGAGAUUACUGACCCUUUUUAUGAUGAUAGAAAUCAUCAUGGCCAGGAACCCUUGAGUUGAAUGGAACCAGAAAUCUUGAGCAAAAAAAAAUCAGAAAAUUGUGCCAUGAAACUAAUCUUUUUACCUUGAAAUGGCUCUUUCCUUUCUCAAGUCUGCUUGCUAAUUUUUCUUCUUGCUCUGACUGUUCUCCUUUCUGCU